rnacentral:tRNA from 1 species
UGAGAUGUGGCUCAAGCGGUAGCAUGCAUGCCUGGCAUGCAUGGGGCGCUGGGUUCGAUCCUCAGCACCACAU